UGGCUUAUGAUGAAAGACUAAUUAUCUUAGCGGAUUUCAGUGAGAUUAUGAUUUCAUUAUAAUCCGUGAUCUGAUUGUUACACACACUGAAGCCU